AACGAACGCUGGCGGCAUGCCUAACACAUGCAAGUCGAACGAAGCCUUCGGGCUUAGUGGCGCACGGGUGCGUAACGCGUGGGAAUCUGCCCUGGGGUACGGAAUAACAGCGGGAAACUGUUGCUAAUACCGUAUGAUGUCGAGAGACCAAAGAUUUAUCGCCCUGGGAUGAGCCCGCGUUGGAUUAGCUAGUUGGUGGGGUAAAAGGCCUACCAAGGCGACGAUCCAUAGGCUGGUCUGAGAGGAUGAUCAGCCACACUGGGACUGAGACGAUGGCCCCAGACUCCUACGGGAGGCAGCAGUGGGGAAUAUUGGACAAUGGGGCGAAAGGCCUGAUCCAGCAAUGCCGCGUGGGUGAAGAA
rnacentral:rRNA from 1 species